AAUCGAAGAGGUCGCGACCAACAAGAGUAGCUGGUGGAGUUUCUGCAAAAACUAAGAAACCAGUGAAAGGGGCGGUUGCCGAAGCGUUAAUUAUUGCGGUAAUUAAUUGGCUGGGACGUAAUUUAAGAGAUUACGGACUGUCGCAAGUUAAUAAUUUGCGGAGCGCUC
rnacentral:ncRNA from 1 species